CCAGCAACUUGGAGGAAUGUAUAGCGAAAGCUAGUUGUAUUAACUUCGACUCAUUUGAAGUUAAUGCAGCAUCGACUAUGUCGAAUAAAGUUCUAGAGAGAGUUAUGAUAAUGACAUUUUCUAUCUAUGUGUCUUGACCAAGUCACGUGCCAGCAGUCGCGGUAAUACGUGGAAGACUAGUGUUAUUCAUCUUUAAUAGGUUUAAAGGGUACUUAGACGGUAAAUUUAGCCCAAAUAAAAAACAAAGGGUACUAAUUAUACUAGAGUUUAAUGAGAGGGGGAAGGUGUAGUAGUGGUGUAGAGAUGAAAUUCUGUCAUACCGUUACGACAGGCAACGGCGAAAGCAACCCUUUAUGUAGAAACUGACGUUAAAGGACGAAGGCUUUGCGUCAUCAACAGGAUUAGAUACCCAAGCAGUCUUAGCAGACAAUUAUGAAUGCCAUAAAUAAGAAAAAUAUUAUUUCUUGUUCUCUUUUUUAUCUUCUACAGGUAUUUAGAAGAGUCAAAAAAGAAAGAAAAAAAAAAGCAUUCUUAUCCUUCUUCCCACAGAGAAGUAACGAGAUUCUUUUGUUCAAGAAAGGAUAUUAAUUUUUUAUCUAUAAAUGAAAGUGCAAGCAUUCCACCUCAAGAGUAAAGUGGCAACGCACAAACUGAAAUCAUUAGACCGUUUCUGAAACCAGUAGUGAAGUAUGUUGUUUAAUAUGAUGAUCCGCACAAAGCCUUACCACAAUUUGUAUAUUAUUAGCUUAAUACAAGAGUUGCACGGCUGUCUUCAGUUAAUGUCGUGAGAUUUUGGUUAGUUCCAUAAAAUUAACGUAAACCCUUACUUUAUUUAUAUUAUAAAGUAGUUCACCGCAAUAUUGGAUAUGAUAAAAGGGACUAAGACAAGUC
rnacentral:rRNA from 1 species